AGCAGAAUGGUGCAGUGGUAAUGAGCAGGGCUUGUAUCCAUGAGGUGGCUGGAUCGAUUCCCUUCUGGGG